rnacentral:rRNA from 1 species
AUUGAACGCUGGCGGCAUGCCUUACACAUGCAAGUCGAACGGCAGCACGGGAGCAAUCCUGGUGGCGAGUGGCGAACGGGUGAGUAAUAUAUCGGAACGUGCCCAGUCUGGGGGAUAACGGUAGCGAAAGCUACGCUAAUACCGCAUACGAUCUAUGGAUGAAAGCGGGGGAUCGCAAGACCUCGACGCGAUUGGAGCGGCCGAUAUCAGAUUAGGUAGUUGGUGAGGUAAAGGCUCGCCAAGCCGACGAUCUGUAGCUGGUCUGAGAGGACGACCAGGCCACACUGGGACUGAGACACGGCCCAGACUCCUACGGGAGGCA